UGGGGAAUCUUCCGCAAUGGACGAAAGUCUGACGGAGCAACGCCGCGUGAGUGAAGAAGGUUUUCGGAUCGUAAAACUCUGUCUUUUGGGGCGAACGUGAGUAUGGUGAACAAUCAUAGUCAGUGACGGUACCAAAGGAGGAAGCCACGGCUAACUACGUGCCAGCAGCCGCGGUAAUACGUAGGUGGCAAGCGUUGUCCGGAAUUAUUGGGCGUAAAGAGCGCGUAGGCGGGAUAGUCAGUCUGUUGUAAAGUGCGGGGCUCAACCCCGUGAUCGCAAUGGAAACAGCUAUUCUUGAGUGCAGGAGAGGAAAGUGGAAUUCCCAGUGUAGCGGUGAAAUGCGUAGAUAUUGGGAGGAACACCAGUGGCGAAGGCGACUUUCUGGACUGUGUCUGACGCUGAGGCGCGAAAGCCAGGGGAGCGAACGGGAUUAGAUACCCCCGGUAGUCCUGGCCGUAAACGAUGGGUACUAGGUGUGGGAGGUAUCGACCCCUUUCCGUGCCGGAGUUAACGCAAUAAGUACCCCGCCUGGGGAGUACGGUCGCAAGACUGAAACUCAAAGGAAUUGAC
rnacentral:rRNA from 1 species